GACGAACGCUGGCGGCGUGCUUAACACAUGCAAGUCGAGCGGUAAGGCCCUUUCGGGGGUACACGAGCGGCGAACGGGUGAGUAACACGUGGGUGACCUGCCCUCAGCUCUGGGAUAAGCCUGGGAAACCGGGUCUAAUACUGGAUAUGACUCCAUGACGCAUGUUGUGGGGUGGAAAGCCUUGUGCGGCUGAGGAUGGGCCCGCGGCCUAUCAGCUUGUUGGUGGGGUGANGGCCUACCAAGGCGGCGACGGGUAGCCGGCCUGAGAGGGCGACCGGCCACACUGGGACUGAGACACGGCCCAGACUCCUACGGGAGGCAGCAGUGGGGAAUCUUGCGCAAGUGGGCGAAAGCCUGACGCAGCGACGCCGCGUGAGGAUGAC
rnacentral:rRNA from 1 species